rnacentral:tRNA from 1 species
ACCUUCAUAGUGUAACGGUUGCACACUCGACAGAUAUUUGAGAGGUCCGGGUUCGAAUCCCGGCGAAGGUA